UACGUAGGGUGCAAGCGUUAAUCGGACUUACUGGGCGUAAAGCGUGCGCAGGCGGUUAUAUAAGACAGAUGUGAAAUCCCCGGGCUCAACCUGGGAACUGCAUUUGUGACUGUAUAGCUAGAGUACGGUAGAGGGGGAUGGAAUUCCGCGUGUAGCAGUGAAAUGCGUAGAUAUGCGGAGGAACACCGAUGGCGAAGGCAAUCCCCUGGACCUGUACUGACGCUCAUGCACGAAAGCGUGGGGAGCAAACAGG
rnacentral:rRNA from 1 species